AGAGACUUUUAAAAAUAAGCCCGAGGAGUGGCUCCUCUGUUUACAACACACCCAACAGUAAUCUCCAGUCAUUGUGACAAAGGGUGGCACAGAACUUGUGGCCUCCCUACAAAUUCCUUACACAU
rnacentral:snoRNA from 1 species